AAAAUAAAUACAUUUCUUGUUGAAAAUCAGCACAUUGAUUCUACUGGAAUAAGACAAUGUCCCAAAAUAAACAACAUUUAAGCUCAUGCUAAUGUUAGCAUUAGCAGUUUAUACAGUAACAGUUGAAUGUGUCUGAUUCUCAAAUUAUGCCUAAUUAUAGAUUUAGUUUACUUCAAAUGGAAAACAACAGUUUGAGUCAAUUUAAAGUUAAAUAAUGUGUUAGUUGAGAAUAACUAACCAGUUUUUAUACAACGGCUAAUCCAAUAUUAACUAGCUAGUCCGCUAGCACACAAGUACAUCUUCUGCCCUGCGUAUUAUUUAACCUUUAGUUUCAAGUUUCUGAUAAUCAAGAGAUAAUUUUAGCUAAAAAAUAGAUAAUUUUUUAGCAAAGACUGUGUAAAUUUUUACGUUCAUCCCCUGCUAAACGUAAAUGUAAAUGACAUACUGAAUACUCCAUUAAUUAAUAUUUCAAUCCAUCAGGGCCACAAUAGUUUUACAUAUGAACUUGUAUUGUCAAAUAUUAGUUAAAGGGAUUCAAAAUGGUAGGCGUUUUAAAAAUCCUAUAUUAGCAAAUAACGUUUGUUGUUUAUUGUUGCAGUUUUAUUUAGAGAAACUGUUUCUGCUGUAAUACGUUUCUGAAUGUAAUUUCAGCAUCAAUAAUCAUCUGAUUUCUGUGCUUAUUGUUUAUUAACUGCUCAUAUUUUUGUCUUGUUGAUGUUUCUCCUGUGACUUCUACAGUGCUUGGGAUAUUUACACAAUCAGAAGAGAAAAUGAGUGAGAAAUUUCUAUAUUUUUACUGAAAACCAAGCGAGUAUUGACAGAUUUAUACGAGAAAAUCUACCACUUGUGAUGGGUAGCAUAUCAGAAUUCAGUAUUACUGUUUAGAAAGUAUCAAUAAAGUGAGAAUGUACCGAGUUCAUGUGUGAACCGUGUGUGUUGAAGCUCUUGCUGUUCCUGUGGCAGGACAAACAAUUGCAAAACUAAUACCCAGGGAUUAUUUAGUUGCAAAUAUUUCCAAAUCCCUGCCAAAAAAUCCCCGAAAUCUCUUAAUCUCCUGUU